rnacentral:tRNA from 1 species
CGCGGGAUAGAGCAGUCCGGUAGCUCGUCAGGCUCAUAACCUGAAGGUCGGUGGUUCAAAUCCAUCUCCCGCAACCA